rnacentral:tRNA from 1 species
AGGGGCGUGGCGAAACUGGUAGACGCGCCGGAUUUCCAAUCCGGUGGGGGUUACCUCCGUGUGGGUUCGAGUCCCACCGCCUA